rnacentral:rRNA from 1 species
CCAAUAGCGUAUAUUAAAGUUGUUGCGGUUAAAAAGCUCGUAGUUGAAUUUCGGGACCAAUAUGCCGGUCGUGCUUCGGUACGUACCUGCAUUAUUGGUUUCUCCCUUCUGACGAACCAUGAUGUCAUUAAUUUGGUGUCUUGGGGAAUCAGGACUGUUACUUUGAAAAAAUUAGAGUGUUUAAAGCAGGCUCACGCUUGAAUACAUUAGCAUGGAAUAAUGAAAUAGGACGUUUGAUUCUAUUUUGUUGGUUUCUAGGAUCGACGUAAUGAUUAAUAGGGAUAGUUGGGGGCAUUAGUAUUCAAUUGUCAGAGGUGAAAUUCUUGGAUUUAUUGAAGACUAACUACUGCGAAAGCAUUUGCCAAGGAUGUUUUCAUUAAUCAAGAACGAAAGUUAGGGGAUCGAAGACGAUCAGAUACCGUCGUAGUCUUAACCAUAAACUAUGCCGACUAGGGAUCGGACGAUGUUAAUUUUUUAAUGACUCAUUCGGCGCCUUACG